rnacentral:rRNA from 1 species
UUAUAUUCUGUAGCAAGGUUAACCGUAUAGGGGAGCCGCAGGGAAACCGAGUCUUAACUGGGCGUUAAGUUGCAGGGUAUAGACCCGAAACCCGGUGAUCUAGCCAUGGGCAGGUUGAAGGUUGGGUAACACUAACUGGAGGACCGAACCGACUAAUGUUGAAAAAUUAGCGGAUGACUUGUGGCUGGGGGUGAAAGGCCAAUCAAACCGGGAGAUAGCUGGUUCUCCCCGAAAGCUAUUUAGGUAGCGCCUCGUGAAUUCAUCUUCGGGGGUAGAGCACUGUUUCGGCUAGGGGGUCAUCCCGACUUACCAACCCGAUGCAAACUACGAAUACCGAAGAAUGUUAUCACGGGAGACACACGGCGGGUGCUAACGUCCGUCGUGAAGAGGGAAACAACCCAGACCGCCAGCUAAGGUCCCAAAGUCAUGGUUAAGUGGGAAACGAUGUGGGAAGGCACAGACAGCCAGGAUGUUGGCUUAGAAGCAGCCAUCAUUUAAAGAAAGCGUAAUAGCUCACUGGUCGAGUCGGCCUGCGCGGAAGAUGUAACGGGGCUAAACCAUGCACCGAAGCUGCGGCAGCGACACUAUGUGUUGUUGGGUAGGGGAGCGUUCUGUAAGCCUGCGAAGGUGACCUGUGAGGGUUGCUGGAGGUAUCAGAAGUGCGAAUGCUGACAUAAGUAACGAUAAAGCGGGUGAAAAGCCCGCUCGCCGGAAGACCAAGGGUUCCUGUCCAACGUUAAUCGGGGCAGGGUGAGUCGACCCCUAAGGCGAGGCCGAAAGGCGUAGUCGAUGGGAAACAGGUUAAUAUUCCUGUACUUGGUGUUACUGCGAAGGGGGGACGGAGAAGGCUAUGUUAGCCGGGCGACGGUUGUCCCGGUUUAAGCAUGUAGGCUGGUUGUCCAGGCAAAUCCGGAUAAUCAAGGCUGAGGUGUGAUGACGAGGCACUACGGUGCUGAAGUAACAAAUGCCCUGCUUCCAGGAAAAGCCUCUAAGCAUCAGGUAACAUCAAAUCGUACCCCAAACCGACACAGGUGGUCAGGUAGAGAAUACCAAGGCGCUUGAGAGAACUCGGGUGAAGGAACUAGGCAAAAUGGUGCCGUAACUUCGGGAGAAGGCACGCUGGUGUGUAGGUGAAGUCCCUGCGGAUGGAGCUGAGACCAGUCGAAGAUACCAGCUGGCUGCAACUGUUUAUUAAAAACACAGCACUGUGCAAACACGAAAGUGGACGUAUACGGUGUGACGCCUGCCCGGUGCCGGAAGGUUAAUUGAUGGGGUUAUCCGUAAGGAGAAGCUCUUGAUCGAAGCCCCGGUAAACGGCGGCCGUAACUAUAACGGUCCUAAGGUAGCGAAAUUCCUUGUCGGGUAAGUUCCGACCUGCACGAAUGGCGUAAUGAUGGCCAGGCUGUCUCCACCCGAGACUCAGUGAAAUUGAACUCGCUGUGAAGAUGCAGUGUACCCGCGGCAAGACGGAAAGACCCCGUGAACCUUUACUAUAGCUUGACACUGAACAUUGAGCCUUGAUGUGUAGGAUAGGUGGGAGGCUUUGAAGCGUGGACGCCAGUCUGCGUGGAGCCAACCUUGAAAUACCACCCUUUAAUGUUUGAUGUUCUAACGUUGGCCCCUGACCGGGGUUGCGGACAGUGUCUGGUGGGUAGUUUGACUGGGGCGGUCUCCUCCCAAAGCGUAACGGAGGAGCACGAAGGUUAGCUAAUCCUGGUCGGACAUCAGGAGGUUAGUGCAAUGGCAUAAGCUAGCUUGACUGCGAGCGUGACGGCGCGAGCAGGUGCGAAAGCAGGUCAUAGUGAUCCGGUGGUUCUGAAUGGAAGGGCCAUCGCUCAACGGAUAAAAGGUACUCCGGGGAUAACAGGCUGAUACCGCCCAAGAGUUCAUAUCGACGGCGGUGUUUGGCACCUCGAUGUCGGCUCAUCACAUCCUGGGGCUGAAGUAGGUCCCAAGGGUAUGGCUGUUCGCCAUUUAAAGUGGUACGCGAGCUGGGUUUAGAACGUCGUGAGACAGUUCGGUCCCUAUCUGCCGUGGGCGCUGGAGAAUUGAGGGGGGCUGCUCCUAGUACGAGAGGACCGGAGUGGACGCAUCACUGGUGUUCGGGUUGUCAUGCCAAUGGCACUGCCCGGUAGCUAAAUGCGGAAGAGAUAAGUGCUGAAAGCAUCUAAGCACGAAACUUGCCCCGAGAUGAGUUCUCCCUGAGACUUUAAGUCUCCUGAAGGAACGUUGAAGACGACGACGUUGAUAGGCCGGGUGUGUAAGCGCAGCGAUGCGUUGAGCUAACCGGUACUAAUGAACCGUGAGGCUUAACCUU